AAAAGAUAAAGGUCUACAUUGAAAAUAAAUUUCAUAUAAAUAUAACACAGAGCUAUGUUCCUAAAAUUGUUUUAGUUUUCAAAUAAUUGUUAGUCGUCCAGGCAUUUUCAUAUCUUGCAGCAAUGUUUUUUCCACUGAUUCUUGUAAUGGUUAUUUCAAUGCAAAUAGUAUUUGGACGCAUUGCUCGAACAAACAGCGAAGUUGAAUAUGCAGCCGAAACUACCUGCCCAGAUGGAAUGCCUUGUUCAAUUGGAGUGUGCUGCAAAAAAUUCAGAUUCGGAAGAACUUUCGAGUGCUGUGGCGAAGGUUUUCAUUGCAAGCGGGGAUUUAUAUUCAGCUACUGUAAACAAGAUGCUACACAAUUUGUAGACAUUAACAGAGAGCAAAACAAAGAAGAGUUGGAAAAGAAAGUCAUUCAAAACAUCUUGUUUCUUCAAGAGUGAAAUUAAGAUAUUCUGUAAUCGAAGGAAAAGAAGAAUGUUUAAUUUUCCAAUACUUACAACAGCAUGUUUGUAACACUAGAAUAAACUAAAUUUGUUUAAAAAAAAAAUAUUUGUAAUGAAUUGAAAAGCCAAAGAGUGUAAUGAACAAAUAAUCAUUUUGUUCCUGCAAUUAAAUGAAUUAUUAAUAUUUUUAAUGUUGUAAAAAAUAAAUAUACUAUUUCUGACUUUGAAA